ensembl:lncRNA
GGCACCUGUGUCUCUCAACCUGCCACUGCUAGGUUGGCCUGGCUCCCUUGUGCUCUCCACAUGUGGCCCCGCAUGGCAUGGUGUACCUCCUGUCUCUGGGGCUUGUUGACCAGCCAGCAUUGAGUCACCGUAAUCUUCUAGGUCAGACAGGAAAAGAAUUGACGUCGUUACAAAAUACCACUGCGUAAGUGUCUUUGAGAAAAUGGCAGCCAAGUGUACACAGUUGGGCAAUGAGAGGUGAUGGGCAACAGUCCCUGAGCAGCCCUUCCCAAAUUAAGUUAAAAGGAGGGAAAACUUGAGAUGAUUAACUGAGGAUGGAGAAGUAGAAGACCAUAUUAAUCUAAAUGGCGCAAGGCCCAUCACGGUGUAUACAAGCAAAUCCAGGACCAACUUUAGCCCACAAGGGCAAAUAUGGAAGACAAGUCAAAUCUCAAGGUCCGUUCUUUGGAAGUGACUGUGCAAUACUUCAUCUCUAACGUGUUGCUUCCUGUCCUGCCACCAUCAGUCCUCAUCCUUUACCUCUGCAAGUUACACCGAAGUUCUUCAGGUGGUAGCUGAUGAGAGCAGUAACAGCUGCCCAGCUGGGGAUGAAGACACAAGAGCCUACUGCAGAACCACAGCUUCUCAGACCUUUGUACGUGCACAAGCCCUCUGUCUCACCUCCAAGAGAAAGCCAUCCAUCCCCUGUGGGAAUAUUUCUCCCGGGGUAACAACUUUACUAGGAAACUCAGCUAAGAGGCACAUUAACUGUCCAGCAGCCUAUUGGGAAGAGUGGUGGAGGGGGCGAUGUUAACUCAGGAGGAGAUCGUGUGUGUGGACCAGGAGAAAUACAGCCUUUCAUGACAUUGAGCAUUGUGAGAAGAGUGAGAACAUGUUUUCAGAUCAUCAGAAAUGAUUACCAAUUGAAAAGAACGCAGUGUUGCCUUUGCCAUAAUGAGAGGGGCUGAGAGGGCAGCUACAGCAAGGAUGUGGAGAGAAGGAGGGACAGUGAGUCUCCAGCAGCAGGGAGAACAGGGGCCACCCAGACCAGGAGACAGCAUCUAGAGGACUGGGGACAGUGGGCUAUUGCUCUGGCAUCUUCAUUUUCUGUUCCCUUCCACCCACUAGGCAGCCUUUGAAUUUUGAUUUAGCUUCCCUAGUAGACUUUCCUCCUGAAAAGACACAGUUCCCCUUAGAAAAAAAUGCAUGGCCUUUCUGUCUCAGACCAGUUUCAUUUGUUUGCACAGUAUAAGCCAGAUUUCCCCUAGAACCUGAUUAUCCUGGGUAAGCUGAAAAGCCAAAGUGAUAUGACCAGAGCUUGGCAACUCUUCAGAUAUGAGGGGUAAACGUUGAAGAAAGAGUCAAAGAUAACAUCAAAUUUCUAAGCCAGAGUUCCCAGAAGGAUGAUCUACCGCAUACAGAAUAGGAAAAGGUAGAAUCUAUCAAAGUAUUGACCUUCAGGCCUUCCCUCACCACCAACCCUCUAUCUUAAUAUCUUGCGGUGGAGGGUCUGUUGGAAAUAGUCUGUAAUUUCAGGGGCCAUAUUUCACUUCCACAUUCAUUUAAUAAUAAUUAUGUAUUAGGUGCUUACCACGUGCAGGACACUGAAAUGGAUGUUAUGAGAUUGUACAAGGAUGAAAGACUUAGCAUAUCAUCCAAGAAGCACAUUAGAGUUGCGUAGGGAAUAUAAGGCACAUGUAUAAGUAAUGGAAAAUGCAAAUGUAUUUGAUGCUGUCAGCUACAAAUAAGAGAAAAUUCCAACUUUUAAUUUGAUUCAAAG